rnacentral:tRNA from 1 species
GGUUCAAUAGUGUUAAUGGCUAACAUGGCAGGUUGUCAGCCUGUCGAUUCGGGUUCGAUUCCCGGUUGGACCG